GCUAAAGUCAACAGUGACAGAGUUUGAGCUCAAAUAAAUGCCGUGAUGUCUGGAGCCCUUUGCAGAAGGCAGAAGGCGAGCUUCUACAAUGGGCUCCUGUGUGGCUUGCCAACAACAAGCACCGGCUAUUUUGCACAGGGCUCUGCUGACUGAAGUGAUCCCCACGGCCCGAGUGGAGGAGAGGAGGGAGAGGACGCCUCGGAGGGAAGAGGGAUAGCUGUGGAAGAGCUGAUGCACUCGCACACACUCAACCACUCACACAAUGUCCCUCUCAGUCCUGGGUUGUGACCGGCCCAUGGCAUUGGCCAGAUGCACGUGGCGUUUCAUUCGAAGGACACUUUUCCACUGCAGCUCACCAUCUACUUUCAUCGCCCUGCGUCAAGCGACCUGAAAGCACUUUCCUGUCGAUGUACUUGGCUAUAUCUACGUCCUGACCUGUCUGCCAUAUGUAAUAUCAAAGCCUCUGUCAGCGUGGAGCUGAUUGGGAACAAAAGAGAGGCCUCCAUUAAUGAUUAACUGUUCUAAAAGCCCCGGCUUUUGUAUUCCCAUGGUGCCCAGGCUAUCUGGCCACCAUGUGACAUGCUCACAGCAUUUUUCGAGCAGAUUGGGGGAAAGCUAGUGAGCAAACACAGGUGCUUUGGAGCAGCGUUGCCGACGCUGUCAGGGACAACCACAAACAAGAGCAGCUAUGCCUGGCUAAAUGAAUCCCCACCCCUCCCACCACCAUCGCCACCUCCACUGCCCCCCCCCCCCCCCUUUUUUUUUUGCUUUUUGCUCUGUCGCUAGCUAACUUGUUUGCUAGCUCCCUAUAGCUUUCUCCAUGCAAAAGCCUUCCUUCUGGAUAGUCACUGCGACCCCCUCCUCCCCUACUUCCACAAGUCCAAUGUCCGCUACAGCUACAACUUCUCACACCCUCUAAAGAAACAAACAAAUAAAAGUGAGGACGGCCGACCGCUUCUUUGAGGUGAUGGCAUUUGCUGUGGUCAUGACUAGUGGGAGAGCAAACAAAUUAACGGUGUCCGAGUUUUCACUUUCCAAACCAAACUAAAUGUCUUUUAGUUCAAGUGGGGCAAUUCCACUGACCCUGGUGUCAAAUGCUGCAUGAGGGUUGCACACUCUUGCACUUGAAAUGUUGAGAGGAGGCCGUAAGAAAUUAAACAGGGCUUGAGCAUUGGCUUAUGUGAGCGUGGUGUGGUGCAGUACCUUGAAUAAAUCUUGAAUAAAUUGUAGGUGUAAUAAACACAGUAUUUAAUUUCUGCUAUCCAAGUAUUUUCACCACGAACUUUAACAAGAGGUGUCUGGAGCACUUAACCUUUUCAUCCAGUCUGACUGAUUGUUCGGAGUGACUGAGGGUGCUGUGUCGCUCAACUUUGAUAAGACAAUCAGAUGAUAGGAUGGCGUUAUCUUAACACGGCUUUCCGGCUGGGAGACAAAUGAACAGUGUGUGAUAACAGGAACAAAAGCUAGGCUCUUAUUGCCUUGUUCCUCCAAAGAAAGGAAAAUUAUCAGAAUAGAAAAUUCACAAUAGGGACAGUUUAUUUCAUUUUCAAUUUUCUACUUAUGCUCAGGACACAGGAACAGCUUUCUCUCUUUUUUAUCACUCAUAUAUUUAUACUGCCUCUUGUUGGCAUUUUGGUGUGACAGUCUGCAAUUACCUGAACCUAUAAACCAGUUAUCACUGGAAAGAUGAUAAAAUGUUUUAAAACAAACAAUUUAAACAGGAGAGGAAAUUAAGUUGUAAAAGUGAGAGAUGCGGAUACGGAAAAAGACAGUGAGUGUAAAAAUAUAGAGAAAGAAGGAAAUGUGGGAUAUUGUCUAUGUGUGAGAGAUGAAGUAGUAGAUAGAGAAAAAAAAGGUCAAAAGUAACUUCCUCAGAGACACGCUACUGAUAAGUUAAACACCUCUUCUGUCUGGGUUUUUUGACUUCUGCAGCCAAAUUCUCGGAGUCAGAGAGGGCUAUGUAUACUCAAGGAUUCACUCAAGACUUUGUUUGCUCUAUUCCCCCCAAAAAAUGAUUGAAAAAUAUUGGUGCCCUGGCUUGAAAUGUUAGCACUUUGUUAGGACUUAAAAAAGAACUUGUAACUGGGUAGAAACUGCAUGAAUAAAAUAUUCUCUUUUUAAGAAAAGAUGUUGUGUUAUUUGAAAAAAAAAAUCAUUUUAUCCAUAAAGAUUUUCAUUUUGAUAGACUUUUGAAUAUUUCAUUUUGCAAAAAUUGGCACAUUUUAAAGUUGAAUUUAACCUCCUGAGACCAUUCUUCCAGGUGCUAUCAGAGAGGGUUUAAAACAGGCAGAGAUGUAUUCGGAGAAGCUCAUCUCAUCCCCCUGUUCUGCCGCUGGUUCCCUGCAGGGAUUUAGCCUCCACUGGUCGUGAGCUGAGUCUGAUCAGAGGAGUUACAAAUCCUUACUUUUAGGGGUCUUACUGUAAUUCACAAGCCUUGUUGGCCACCGUUAAGCGCGGGGGCCCGGCAUCUCGAGAGGGAUUUGAGACAACAUCUUUGUUGCCUCCUCAUUGUAUCACGGUGAAAGUCGUCCAGCACCCAUUGUCUGACCAAACUCUGCUCAGACCUCGGCUCAAUCAAAGAAAAGUUUUCCAGUAAUGAGGUAAGACAUGAAAGCUCACUGAACACAGCGACAUGUUGAAAGGGGCCUUUUGAUCUUGUCAGACACAAUGGUCAAAUUUGAAAAGAGCAAAGUGUGCUUUAAGCAGCAAUGCACUGCAUUAACCCCUUGUCUUUUGACAGGCCCACACCUAGAAAAGACGUAAUAUUCCGCUCUAUGGAAAAUGUAGUUCACGAGUAAUGGCCUCCUUGAAGGGGAGGGGACCUUUGUGCUAAUUCUACCUGCCGCCUUUACAGAUUGGCUGGUCAAGAAAUAGAGAGUUGGACUCUUUUCAAAGCUUUACAACCCUCUACUUGUGUGUUCUUUGAGGUGUUGUUUUAUAUCAUUCACUUACCUCUCAAGAUAUCUCUACAUCACAAGUAAAAAAUGUAUUUGUGCCGAUUUAAUAAAUGAGAUGACCUUCAAAGUAGCAUCAAGUUGAGGCAAGUCUUUAAGAUUUGCCCAAACAAAUGAUUCCUGAUAAUAAUUCUUCGGAACUGGCUGUUUUGUGAAGAGUGAGGAAAACUUAAUGGCACUGCAGUGGAGGUGACAGAUUACCCAGCAGCCAGCUGUGGCAGUCACGGGUCAGUGCAGACUGACUGUGUCCCCAGACUCCGUUAAAUAAGUGGGCCGGCACUAUCUCUGUCCAUCAGCCACCCAGUUUGUUGACUCUUCAAAGAAUGCUAAUAAAAUAUAUGUCCUCUUACUGUA